rnacentral:lncRNA from 1 species
GGUAACCCAGAUGGCAGAGUUCACUACCACAGGUGGGUGCUAAGAACAGGACAUGUGCAAGGCAAGACAGACUUUGAUUCAGUGGGUCUGGGAGACCAGCGUCCCACCCACAGGCUUGGGACACAGGGCAGAGGCUCCUGGGCCCUACUGCUGAGCUCCACCUCUAGCAUGUCACCCAGAGCACUGCUCAGCUAGUCACUGGACAUGGAUAUCACCAAAAGCCUCAGGUGAGGAGGGAGUCUAGAAAUCCUAUAUAGGGCAGGUAAUAGCAAGGGACCCUAUUUUCCAGUCUGUUGCAGAGAUCAUAUAGGAGCAAAACCACUCUUACCAGGCCUGAGCGCUUUGUUUCUAGUCUGCAAGCUUCCGUGUUAAGUGCAGGUGGCUGAAGCACUUGGGUUGGAACACCCUGUGAGUCUAAUGAUGGUCUGGUGGUAGCAACUCCCAGCACACUGGGUGUGACACGAGCCAUCUUCCCCAACCUGUGGUGUGGCACCAGCUGGAGGCAGGUGGGCAUGUUAUCAGCUCCAGCAACUAGAAGAGGUGGCUUGGGUGCACCAUCCACUGACCUGGGUCUCACUGCUGGCAAAGAGGCUGUUUGGUCCUGGUAGACAGCACACAUAUGCUGCAGGGGUGAAGCACUGCAUGGGGGAAUGGUGUCCCCUUCUGUGUUGUGGGGAGACACUCUGAAUGACCAUGCCUUCCAAUACUGAUGCACCAGGCUGACCAAUCACUGCACUCGUUGUGGCUUGGGUGUUGACCCAGCUCGGAUAGCAAGGCUGUCUUCUUUGUAGGUGUACCCCUGGGGUUGAAUUACACUCACCUGUUCCCUUGUAGCCCUGCCCCUUCUGCCCAUUUAUG